rnacentral:tRNA from 1 species
ACCUGGGUGGCUCAGUCGGUUAAGCGUCUGACUUCAGCUCAGGUCAUGAUCUCGCAGUUCGUGAGUUCAAGCCCCGCAUCAGGUC